CUUAUCUACUUUCUAAAAGAACUGUCACAAUCUGCAAGAGCUUGCCUUUCAUUAAUUUGUUUUGCCAUAUUUAUUUACCUUUCAGAGAGAAAAAAAAAAUAUGCAUAAUUACUGAUUAAAAGUUUGAGAAAUGUUUGAUAAUGUCAUCUUUAUUUAUCUUUGUAGGUUUGAUUGCUUGGCUCACCUGAAUGUGAUUUCUAAUGCUGAUGUAGGAGAAAUACAGGAUGAACUCACUGAGAUCCUCGCCAAGCGUUACAAAAUUGACCACUAUGAAAUAAAAACAGAUGCUAACUUCAUCUUCAUAUAUACUCUUGAUGAUCUCUUGCCGGACCUAGACACAAACCCACCCUUAACCGCGACUGAGUCUCUGCCUCAUACAACUGAAACACAAACAACCACAAUUCCUCAGCUGACGUCUACAACUACUGAAAUUAUUACUACUGCACAAACAACAGGCACAACACCCAAUCAAGUGGCAAUAACAACAGAAGUUGUUUCAUCCUCAACUGAAACAAAAAAAAUCACUACCUCCACACCAUCCAUGGAAACAACCCUGGCAGGAAGUUCCACAACUUUUUUAUCCUCCACAAGAAGUCUUACAUUCAAUACAGCCGCAUGCUCUUCUACUAUUUCACCUGAAGGAAACAUAUCAGAAAAUUAUUUCAGUGUCAAUGUCAAUGUGACUAUCAAUGGAUCUGGUGACCCUGAGAACAUAAUUACAACCUGGGUAAGAUAUAAAACUAAGAGAACCUAA
ensembl:lncRNA